AUUGAACGCUGGCGGCAGGCCUAACACAUGCAAGUCGAGCGGAUGAAGGGAGCUUGCUCCUGGAUUCAGCGGCGGACGGGUGAGUAAUGCCUAGGAAUCUGCCUGGUAGUGGGGGAUAACGUCCGGAAACGGGCGCUAAUACCGCAUACGUCCUGAGGGAGCAAGUGGGGGAGCUUCGGACCUCUCGCUAUCAGAUGAGCCUAGGUCGGAUUAGCUAGUUGGUGGGGUAAAGGCCUACCAAGGCGACGAUCCGUAACUGGUCUGAGAGGAUGAUCAGUCACACUGGAACUGAGACACGGUCCAGACUCCUACGGGAGGCAGCAGUGGGGAAUAUUGGACAAGGGGCGAAAGCCGGAUCCAGCCAUGCCGCGUGUGUGAAGAAGGUCUUCGGAUUGUAAAGCACUUUAGGUUGGGAGGAAGGGCAGUAAGUUAAUACCUGGCUGUUAUGACGUUACCAACAGAAUAAGCACCGGCUAACUUCGUG
rnacentral:rRNA from 1 species